CCUGGGACUGGAAGAGAGAAGCUUGGAGAAAUCAGACAUCCUGUUCAUCAACUCUUUAACAUCAGGCGACAUUAUACAACUUGGCAGGAAAUAUGUGCUGAUCCUCUCUAAGAAGGGUUUUGACUCAUCCUUGGAUAAAUUGAAGGCCUCAGAAAUUCAACGUUACAACAAUGGUGUAAAUCUCUUAAAGAAUCUACGGAACUGAAGGUACCUUAGGGCGGUUACAAGUGUCAUCUAGUUAGGCAUGGAUCACUAUGUAGCAGAAAUCAUUUUGGUACAGGGGUAUGAACCCCUGUGUAAGCUACGUUGUAUUCCUUGGCAUUUAGAUUUCAGCUGUGUGUCUACUUUUAUUUAUUGGCUUUUUGGUUUUGGUAUAUAGUGCUGCUACUGGCAGCCAGGCCAUCAAUGAAAACUUAUUUAGUCCCACUUUGCCUUCUGGUAAUGGUGCAAGUUGGAUUUUAGGGAUGGAAUGGAAUGAUAGUGUUAUGUUGGAACGUCACACGUCUAGGGUAGCCUUCUAAGAGAUGUAUCACAAGGCAGAUAGUUAAAAACUCCAGGUGCUGGACUGUAUGUAUGUAGGAAAUGAAAUGUAGGAUCUUUAACGAGAGAUUGUUAAGAUCGUC
rnacentral:lncRNA from 1 species